rnacentral:rRNA from 1 species
GAUGAACGCUAGCGGGAGGCCUAACACAUGCAAGCCGAGCGGUAUUUGUUCUUCGGAACAGAGAGAGCGGCGCACGGGUGCGGAACACGUGUGCAACCUGCCUUUAUCUGGGGGAUAGCCUUUCGAAAGGAAGAUUAAUACCCCAUAAUAUAUUGAGUGGCAGCAUUUGAUAUCGAAAACUCCGGUGGAUAGAGAUGGGCACGCGCAAGAUUAGAUAGUUGGUGAGGUAACGGCUCACCAAGUCACUGAUCUAUAGGGGGCCUGAGAGGGUGAUCCCCCACACUGGUACUGCGGCCCGGACCCGACUCCUACGCGGGGCAGCGGUGUGGAGUAUUGUGCACUGGGUUAGCGCCUGAUCCAGCCAUCCCGCGUGAAGGACGACGGCCCUAUGGGUUGUAAUCUUCUUUUGUAUAGGGAUAAACCUACUCUCGUGAGAGUAGCUGACGGUACUAUACGAAUAAGCACCGGCUAACUCCGUG